ACAUCCCUCACUGGUUGUAUGUGUGCCUGCAGAGUCGGCUGGGCCAGUUUAGCUCAAGCCUGGGCUUCUACUGAGUGUGUCUGCAUGUGGGAGCUCCUUCUGGCCCUCAGUUCUCCACAGCCUGCUGCAGCAAGUAGACGUGGCCAUGGGGACAGACUGGAGCUGUCCUAUCUGCCACAGCACUCGGAGUGAUUUGGCUUCUGCUCUGCCCCAGUUCUGCCUGGGCUGCCUCCUGCAGUGGUGGUGAGCAGAGGCUGCAGAGGGCUGUAUCCUGCAUGGCCUCUGUGUCUGUGGUCCAAAUGCAAAUAUUUUGGUCGAGCUGCUGGAGCCUCUCCUCAAUGGGCACACAGCAUCACUGGUCUAUGGCAUCAUCAAUGUCAUUGCAGGCCAGUGCAGUGACAAAGCCCAGAGGCUGCUGUGCUUCCAUCAUGCCAGCACCAACUCCAGUAGCUCCAGCUACACUAGCUCCCAGGAGGUGAUGCUUGCCAGUGGACCCACAGGCUCUGAGAGCAGGACCAGCCCCAAGAAGAGCAGGAGCAGACAGUGGCAGCGGCAGGUCCAUCUGCUCAGGGCUACAGCCCCUCUGCUCCUGACCAGGGCAGGGACCACUCUUCUGGAGAGUCCCGGCAUGCCCAGAAGAAGAGAACCCCCAGCCUCCAGAAUUCCCCCAGACCCAAGAAGAGGCCACCGUGCCAGCAGCACUAGCACACAUCCAGGAACUCUUCAGCCAAGAAAAAAGAAAUAAAUUGUCAUUUCCCUGACAAA